ensembl:lncRNA
CCCCCCGCCAUGAGGGAUAAUGCGCGUUGAUUGGCUUUUCGUCCUAUCGCUCUUGACUGUGACCAAUCAGAGCCACAAGCGGUGACCAGACGGGCCGGGUGGGGGCGGGGCCUCGCCGCUCGGUGCCCGGCGUGCUGGGGCGCUGAGGUACUUCCCGCCCUCACUGCGCCGCAGCAGCUGAUAGUCUGUCCCUGCGCACCUCUUCUCCACCGGGAGAGCCCCCGGGAAAGCCAUUUCUCUUCCCAAAGGGAAACUUAGGCCAGUUUCCCAGAGGGUCUGAUGGCACGAAAAGGCUGAGGAGCCUCAAGGCUGGCCCAGUGCCUCUGAGAAGCGGGUGAAGUCAUGGCCUGUUGCUUUGAUAAGAGGUGCUGUUCUCCUCCUGUUGGCUUCAGGUGACUCAGCAGUAGUAUGUGGCUGACAUUAAAUUAGAGUCACGUUUACGUAACACGUCAUAGUUUCGACGAGCUGUAACCACAGAGCUGAUGGGAGACUGGGGGGGUGUUUUUUACCUCAGAAGGUUCUCUGUUGGGACUGCCCACGCAGCCGAGAAGCAACUGAAGGGACUCUGCUUUCUUUUUGAGCUGCUUAAAACACACAGAUGGAAUGAGUGCCCAUGUGCAAGCUUUGGUAGCAGAACAGCUUCAGGGGUUGGCCUUCAUGAGAAGAGACCUCCAUCUCCAACAGAGCCAGUGAUCUCUGAAAUACACCUGCUGCAGGAUAAAGAUCGAAAAGAAAUAUCUUCCUGGCAGCACUGCGUAUGGAAGGAAUAAGGAAAGUAACAAGGAGAAAGUUGCGCGCAUUUACAAUUGUAUUGAGUAAAAACUGGAGUUGUAUGGCCAUCGCAACUUCUUGGGAGCCAAAGAUACCUAUGAGGAAACAUGGCGGUGAACUACCCUUUCUUCGAAAAACAGAAGUUAGAUAAAAUGCUGGUCAACUGUGGACUUCCUUUUCAGCAUACUCUUGCUUUGCCACGGGCUCAUUUACUGACCUUGAGCAUGAUGUUUCACCUGUUGAUGUGCCACCUGACUCACCAGUAGGAGAAUACUUCUUACCCUUUGGAG